CCCUUAGAUGUCCUGGGCCGCACGCGCGCUACACUGAGUGUCUGAGAUACGAGUCUGCCUGGUCCGGCAAGGUCUAGGUAAUCGCUAAAAGACACAUCAUGCUUGGGAUAGAUUAUUGCAAAUAUUAAUCUUGAACGAGGAAUUCCUAGUAAGCGCAAGUCAACAGCUUGCGUUGAUUACGUCCCUGCCCUUUGUACACACCGCCCGUCGCUACUACUGAUUGGAUGUUUAAGCGAGGUUCUAGAACUGCUAGCGACUUAGCUUCGGUGAGGUCGCAGUGUGGGAAGUGAACCUAGCUUUGGUGUCUAGAGGAAGUAAAAGUCGUAACA
rnacentral:rRNA from 1 species